GCACCAUCCCGACCACGCCUUUUCGCCUGAUACCCCAAAGUAAUCCGAUUGUCCCUACUACCCUCCCUUCUUCCUCUCAACAACGGCCUGCCGACUACUUGUGAACAACACUAAGAGCAUAGUGCCGCGUCCCUCGACAAACAUGUUCCUUGCUUCCAUGAGGUACUUUCUCCUUUUCCGACUUAAUCACAAAGACUACAUUACACGCAUGUUGGAAAGAUAAGAGCGCAUUUACAAACGUCUUCUCUUCGACCGCUUGAUGAAAGAAUACCGUAGCGACGCAUGCCAUCAACCUGUUAUGCAUUGCGAUAUGCAAGGCCCAUUUUUCAUUACUGAAUUCUCAUUUGCAGUCACUAGAGAAUACUCUAUCCAGCCCUUUGCGCUUCAUUCGGGCAAGCCCAACUCCAGCCCUGUACCCUCUUCUCAGCAAAUAGCUUCUUCACCUCCUCCUCCAGUUCCUUUUUCUCCAGUCCCCCUUCGCCCCCGUGCGCAUCCGGAUUCACGUCUUUCCAUCUUCUCACCGUAUCCUUUAUCUCUUGCAAAUCCUUACAUCCCACCACGAUCGGUACCCGUCUACCGUCUGGCUGCCUCAAUGGACGAUACCCAAACGAAAGCGCUACGUCUUCUAGUUUCAUCCCUUUUUCUUUACACAGCUCCACCGCUGCCCGGGUGGCAUCGGAUACCUCCGGAUAGUUCUUCGCUGGAUGCCAAUCAGGUCCACCAGAAGUGGUGAGAAGACCCAUAGCAAGCGGUGAAGCGCUCACUAUCUGUCUCACACCCGCCUUCUCCGUCAAAGCUUGUAGAUAACCUUGUUGGAGCGCAUCAUUCUGCAGGGUAUGAUGGGCGUACGUCUGGACAACAUCGAGCGGUUUUCGGGUACUAUGGAAUACGAGGAGAGCAAGGCGGAGAAGGAUGGGGAGAGGGUAACCCGCGAUACCGACGAGUAUGAUGUGGCCCGUGGUUUGGAGCUCACGGAGGGCGCCAAUGCCGUCUAAGAUCUUGAGUUCUUCGGCGGUAGGUACAGGAGGUUGAGAUAAGAUGGUGGAAAGAAGAGAUACAGGGUCACCUUCGUAUGAUGGGCCGGGUAAAGCAUACUCUACGUCGUGCAGAUCUAUAAUCAUUAGUGUAUUU
rnacentral:sRNA from 1 species